rnacentral:rRNA from 1 species
GGCUCAGGAUGAACGCUGGCGGCGUGCCUAAUACAUGCAAGUCGAGCGAACAGACGAGGAGCUUGCUCCUCUGACGUUAGCGGCGGACGGGUGAGUAACACGUGGAUAACCUACCUAUAAGGACUGGGAUAACUUCGGGAAACCGGAGCUAAUACCGGAUAAUAUAUUCGAACCGCAUGGUUCAAUAGUGAAAGACGGUUUUGCUGUCACUUAUAGAUGGAUCCGCGCCGCAUUAGCUAGUUGGUAAGGUAACGGCUUACCAAGGCAACGAUGCGUAGCCGACCUGAGAGGGUGAUCGGCCACACUGGAACUGAGACACGGUCCAGACUCCUACGGGAGGCAGCAGUAGGGAAUCUUCCGCAAUGGGCGAAAGCCUGACGGAGCAACGCCGCGUGAGUGAUGAAGGUCUUCGGAUCGUAAAACUCUGUUAUUAGGGAAGAACAAAUGUGUAAGUAACUAUGCACGUCUUGACGGUACCUAAUCAGAAAGCCACGGCUAACUACGUG